GGUAAAAUAAAAACAUUUUAAUACGUUUUUCUUUAAUAUAAACUUUAUACAGAAUGGCUGAAAUUAGAAACAUUAUCACCUCUGACUCUAUGAGUAUAUGUAUCUUUAUGUAUUUUAUGUCUUUUAGUCAAAAGGCCUGAAAUAUUUUCAUACACAUCUCAGCGUCCUUGUGAGAUAAGAUAUGGCAUAUUAUUUUCAUUUUAUAAAUAGAAAAAUUGAGAAAUGAAUAAGUUAAGUGAAAGUCAUCAGCUGGAAAUACUUAAAUCACCAGAAACUACAGUGAAAAUGAAGUCAUUCUGGACUCUACCUUGAAGUGAAGUCAGAACUACACGAACUAUCCAAGAUGUUUGUUUUGGCCGCAUUCAAGACUGGAAUUGAAGGCAUAUCGUUCACAGGUUCAGCUACAAUAGAAGAUGCAAGCCUCAAAAUGAUGAACACCUACUACCUCCUUGUGGACGAACGACACGAGGCUGCACAAACGAGGGCUUCACAACUUCGAACCACCAGAAGAGCUCAGCCAUG